rnacentral:rRNA from 1 species
UUCUUGGUCAUUUAGAGGAAGUAAAAGUCGUAACAAGGUUUCCGUAGGUGAACCUGCGGAAGGAUCAUUAAAGAAAUUUAAUAAUUUUGAAAAUGGAUUUUUUUGUUUUGGCAAGAGCAUGAGAGCUUUUACUGGGCAAGAAGACAAGAGAUGGAGAGUCCAGCCGGGCCUGCGCUUAAGUGCGCGGUCUUGCUAGGCUUGUAAGUUUCUUUCUUGCUAUUCCAAACGGUGAGAGAUUUCUGUGCUUUUGUUAUAGGACAAUUAAAACCGUUUCAAUACAACACACUGUGGAGUUUUCAUAUCUUUGCAACUUUUUCUUUGGGCAUUCGAGCAAUCGGGGCCCAGAGGUAACAAACACAAACAAUUUUAUCUAUUCAUUAAAUUUUUGUCAAAAACAAGAAUUUUCGUAACUGGAAAUUUUAAAAUAUUAAAAACUUUCAACAACGGAUCUCUUGGUUCUCGCAUCGAUGAAGAACGCAGCGAAAUGCGAUACGUAAUGUGAAUUGCAGAAUUCCGUGAAUCAUCGAAUCUUUGAACGCACAUUGCGCCCCUUGGUAUUCCAGGGGGCAUGCCUGUUUGAGCGUCAUUUCCUUCUCAAACAUUCUGUUUGGUAGUGAGUGAUACUCUUUGGAGUUAACUUGAAAUUGCUGGCCUUUUCAUUGGAUGUUUUUUUUCCAAAGAGAGGUUUCUCUGCGUGCUUGAGGUAUAAUGCAAGUACGGUCGUUUUAGGUUUUACCAACUGCGGCUAAUCUUUUUUUAUACUGAGCGUAUUGGAACGUUAUCGAUAAGAAGAGAGCGUCUAGGCGAACAAUGUUCUUAAAGUUUGACCUCAAAUCAGGUAGGAGUACCCGCUGGACUUAAGCAUAUCAAUAAGCGGAGGAA